rnacentral:rRNA from 1 species
ACCUACGGGAGGCAGCAGUGAGGAAUAUUGGUCAAUGGGCGGGAGCCUGAACCAGCCAAGUCGCGUGAGGGAUGACGGCCCUAUGGGUUGUAAACCUCUUUUGCCGGGGAGCAAAGUGCCGCACGUGUGCGGUUUGGAGAGUACCCGAAGAAAAAGCAUCGGCUAACUCCGUGCCAGCAGCCGCGGUAAUACGGAGGAUGCGAGCGUUAUCCGGAUUUAUUGGGUUUAAAGGGUGCGCAGGCGGAGGUGCAAGUCAGCGGUCAAAUUGCGGGGCUCAACCCCGUACUGCCGUUGAAACUGCAUCC